rnacentral:sRNA from 1 species
AAGUCGUAACAAGGUUUCCGUAGGUGAACCUGCGGAAGGAUCAUUACACAUUCGGGGCGCUUCGGCGCUCCUUAUACACCCACCCUCUGCCUACGUGUACCUCUAUAGCUUCCUCGGCGGGCUCGCCCGCCGCCAGGAACCCACGAAACCCCUUGCAUUAUACGCGAAAACUUCUGAUAACAAACCUAAAUUAUCACAACUUUCAACAAUGGAUCUCUUGGUUCUGGCAUCGAUGAAGAACGCAGCGAAAUGCGAUAAGUAGUGUGAAUUGCAGAAUUCAGUGAAUCAUCGAAUCUUUGAACGCACAUUGCGGCCAUAGGUAUUCCUUUGGCCAUGCCUGUUCGAGCGUCAUUUACACCCUCAAGCCUAGCUUGGUGUUGGGCGUCUGUCCCGCCGUUUUCGCGCGCGGACUCGCCUCAAAGUCAUUGGCGGCGGUCGUGCCGGCCCCCUCGCGCAGCACAUUUGCGCUUCUCGGAGGCCCGGCGGAUCCGCGCUCCAGCAAGACCUUUCACGACUUGACCUCGGAUCAGGUAGGGAUACCCGCUGAACUUAAGCAUAUCAAUAA